CUCUUUUCGAAUUGUGCAAGCUAGCAAAUUUGCUAUCUAGCAAGUUUUGCUCCCCCUUUGUCAUUGUCAAAUAGAAGGGAAUAACAAUACAAUCAUGUAAUUCAUUUCUCUUUACUAUAAUCUUCAAAUCAUGAUAAGGGUAAAUAAUAAAGAUGAAAAAUGAAUGUCAAAAGACAUAUAUCAUUUUUGACAAAUUUCUUCUUUUGUAGAUAGAAAGCAUGAUAGGAAAUAAUCUUGAUUCAAAAAGAAAACUCAAGUUAUAAAUUAUCAAGAUGUCAAGUAGCAUAUCAUGGUUUACAAAAACAAGUUUCUUGCUAGUUAAUAGCAAAAAGAAUCAUAGGAGAACAAAAUCUCAAUUCAUGCAUAUAAAAUCUUAUGAUUCACAUAGAACAUCUCCUCUUUUAUAAAACGAGAGAAUCAUGAUGAAGAAUCUUGAUUUACAUAAAGUUUUAAAAUAUAAUUAUCAAGAUCAUGAAUACUAAAAGACCAUGAAACAUUUUGACAAAUCUCCUUUUAAAUAGAAAACAAUCUUGAUUCAUUCAAUAGAAAAUUACGAGAAAUCAAGAUCAUGAUUUCAAUAAAACCCAUUAAAUUCAAAUCGUCUAAAUCAUCAAAAUCUCAACAUUUCUUUCAAGAGAUUCAAAAUGGAAUAAAUAAUUUUAUUGGUCUCUUAGGUAUAAAUCAAUAAGAUAGAGAAAAAGAAAAUUUUCAAUAAAAAAUCUUUCCUCCUUUUGUUUCAACUUAUUGAUUGAUUCCAUGCAUGCAUGUCCUUUUCUUUCAAAUCCAUGCAUCAUCAUUUUAAAACAAAAAAGAAAUAAAAAAUCAUCAAGAUAAAAAAGUGCAACACAUAAUUCCUAAAAAAAUAUUGAUUUCAACUCAUUACUUCAAGUCAAACAUGAUUUCAUUUAAUCAAAAUUGAAUAACUUCAAGACCAAUAAAUCAUCAUGUAUAAUAAUCAUCAAGUAUGA
rnacentral:lncRNA from 1 species